UUUUCGCGGUGGGACCCAAAGUGAGCGCAGCCUAGGCAUGAUGGGGGUUAUUUGAAAGGUCU
ensembl:ncRNA Y55D5A.9 ncRNA